GAAAAAUUUGGAAGAAGAUGAAAGAGAAGAAAAAGAAGAUAAAAAGAAGCUCAAUAAUACAAAAAGCAGUGGACACUCAAACCCCAUCCCUGAAGAAUUUCUCCUUCCAGCUUUCAAUACGACCUGGAGGUUGGACAGGGAGAGGGUGUAGUCAGGAGAAGCAUCAAAGGAUCGUCGACAGCGGACUGCGGCACUCAUUACGGACCAUCAGUUUCUGAAACUUCCUCUUUUGUCCACACACACACACACACACACACACACACACACACACACACAGAUGUGAAAUGAAGACACAUGCUGUAGUGCUAAUUAAAUAGAUGAGCUGUAUUAACAUAACCUGAAAGCCCUGGCCAAUUCAAACCCCAUCCUCUUUCUCUCUCACACACACACACACACACACACACACACACACACACACAUACACACACAUGCGCAUGUACAAAACCCUUAAUUUUUUUGUUGUUAUGAUCCAACCAGUGAGCAUCAAUUGUUGGCCGGUGUAAUUACCAUUAGCCCGCCGCGGCUGCCUCUUUGAUAUGCUAAUGAAGCUUCAGCCACAGCCUUCCUCUCAUCGGGAUCAAAUAAUAAACGCUUCCUUGUGUCUAAUAAACACACACACGCACACACACACACACACACACACAACAUACACAACAUACAUACAUACAUACAUACACAACCUACAUUUCCUUACACAUUUGACAUACAGCACCAGGUGACUC